GUCUACGGCCAUGCCACCCUGUACAUGCCCGACCUCAUCUGAUCUCGGAAGCUAAGCAGGGUUGGGCCUGGUUAGUACUUGGAUGGGAGACCACCUAGGAAGACCAAGUGCUGUAGGCU
rnacentral:rRNA from 1 species